CCACGCCCCAGCCGUAGCUACCCAAGCUUCGCCGCAGGCGCCUAGGGUGGCUCAGGUGUCGGCGCGGCUGCUGGUCUGGCAGCUGGAGGAUCGGGGGCCCCGCCCCCCCAGACUCCAGUCCCAGCGGCCCCCUUCAGGACAGAGUGGGCGUCUCUCCACGGCAGCCUCUGUAGGGACCCCGAGGUCGCAAUCGUGGAAGUAGGUGACUGUGGAGUCCCCUGCCUGGCAGGGAUUGGCCGGCCCUGGAAGGCCAGGAGCCUGGACUCGGGGGUCCCUCCCCCUGGGGGGGGGGGGUCCAGCAUCUGUUCCCAGCGAUGAAAAUAAAUCGGAUAAAUUAGGAUCUGGCGGGAGGAGCCUGGCGGCAGGGCUGGGUGGGCGGCCCCUGGGUGGGCGGCCCCGCGUCUGCCCGAUGCCCGGCGCCUCCUGCCCCUGCUGCUCUGGGCACCCGGAGGCCGCGUGCGCCUGCUUCCCUGGUGACCUUGGGCGGCGACGGCGCCUCGCUGAGCUCCGUCUCCUCUCGGGAAACUGAAGUCGGGGGCUUCAGACCCUGCACCCUGCAGAUUCGCAGCCCACCCAGCCCACCUUGUGCCCGAUGCCAGUUGAUCCUCUGCUUCAGAUGCGGCUGGUUGGGGUCAAGAGCGCAGUGGGUCCCGAGAGCCCUCCGAGGCCUCUGGGCCUCAGUUUACUGCCCUGCAGAAUAGGCUGACGCCGCACCGGGCCUUGCUGGAGAAGCUGAUCGCGGCUGGGGCUGGGGACUGUCCUGCCCGGCCACACAGCAUCACCGAGAGCCCCCACCCUCAGCCCCGCGGUUCGGCCACCGGUCUCACCCGUGCUGCUGCCCGGGGCACACCCUGACCCACAUACCGUCACCCACGCCAGGGGCGAGCCAGCUCCGGGGCGGGGUCCUGGGGGAGGAGUGGGAGGCCACAGGCCAGCGUCUCCCCUGUCCCUGGUCCAGGCACUGGGCCCACACCCAGGUUUGAGUCCCUUCCCCCUGUUGUGGCUUUGCCUCGGCCGCCUUGUUUUAUUCCUCUGUGAAAUGGGCUGAACCCCAUGGGGAAGAUCAGAGGAGACUGGGAGGAGGUGGCCUCUCAGUGCAGAUGUGAUGGUUCCAAUAUUAAUUAUAGCCAGGGUUGGUGGCUCACUUGUGUAAUCCCAGCACUAUGGGAAGCAGAGGCAAAAGGAUCAUAAGUUCAAGCCCAGACUGGUGAAUUUAGCACUUCUGUGAGAUCCUGUCUAAAAAAAGGGCUGGUGGGCCGGGGAUUUAGCUCAGUGGUGCUUCUGACUGCCUUGAAAGUGCAAGGUC
rnacentral:lncRNA from 1 species